rnacentral:rRNA from 1 species
GAGAGGAAUGCGGGGUGCCUAUAAUGCAGUCGAGCGGACUUUCUGGAGCCUUGCUUCUUUAGUUUCGCGGCGGACGGGAGAAUAACAUGUGGGAAACCUGCCCCUUACAGUGGGAUAUCUCGGGGAAACGGGAUCUAAUACCGGAUUCUCCUUUUCUCCCCGUGGAGAGGGGGUGAAAUGUGGUUUCGGCUAUCUCUAGGGGAUGGGCCCGCGGCGCUUUAUCUUUUUGGUAGGGUAACGGCUUACCAGGGCCACUAUGCGUACCCCACCUGAGAGGGUGAUCGCCCACACUGGCACUGACACGGGGCCCACACUCCUAGGGGGGGCAGCUGUGGGGAAUCUUCCGCAGUGGAAAAAUGUCAGACAGAACCGCCCCGCGAGUGUGAAGAGGGCCUUCGGGUCAUAGAGCUCUUUUGUGAGGGAAGAAGCGGUACCUUUCAAAUAGGGGGGUACUUUGACGGUCCCUCACCAAAAAGCCACGGCUAAAUACGUGCCAGCCGCCGCGGUAAUACAUAUGUCGCACGUUUUGUCCGGAAUUAUUGGGUGUAAAGCGCGCACACGCCGUCUCUUAUGUCAGAUGUGAAAUCUCGGGGCUCACCCCCGAGCGGCUUUUGGACACUGGGGAUCUAGUGUGCAGAAGAAGAGAGUGGAUCUCCACGUGUAGCGGUAAUGUGCAUAGAUAUGUAGAAGAACACCUGUCGCAAACGACACUCUCUUGUCUGUAACUGACUCUGACGCGCAAACGCGUGGGGAGCACACGAGAUUAUAUACUGGGGUUCUCCACGCCAUACACUAUGAGCGCUAUGUGUAGGUGUCUCUACGCCCAUAGUGCCAAUUUCACACAUUACACACUCCCCCGGGAGUAGUACGGCCACAGCGCUGACACUCAGAAAAUUUUUAACGGAAAAA